GUGGGUAACCUGCCUGUAAGACUGGGAUAACUCCGGGAAACCGGGGCUAAUACCGGAUGGUUGUUUGAACCGCAUGGUUCAAACAUAAAAGGUGGCUUCGGCUACCACUUACAGAUGGACCCGCGGCGCAUUAGCUAGUUGGUGAGGUAACGGCUCACCAAGGCAACGAUGCGUAGCCGACCUGAGAGGGUGAUCGGCCACACUGGGACUGAGACACGGCCCAGACUCCUACGGGAGGCAGCAGUAGGGAAUCUUCCGCAAUGGACGAAAGUCUGACGGAGCAACGCCGCGUGAGUGAUGAAGGUUUUCGGAUCGUAAAGCUCUGUUGUUAGGGAAGAACAAGUACCGUUCGAAUAGGGCGGUACCUUGACGGUACCUAACCAGAAAGCCACGGCUAACUACGUGCCAGCAGCCGCGGUAAUACGUAGGUGGCAAGCGUUGUCCGGAAUUAUUGGGCGUAAAGGGCUCGCAGGCGGUUUCUUAAGUCUGAUGUGAAAGCCCCCGGCUCAACCGGGGAGGGUCAUUGGAAACUGGGGGAACUUGAGUGCAGAAGAGGAGAGUGGAAUUCCACGUGUAGCGGUGAAAUGCGUAGAGAUGUGGAGGAACACCAGUGGCGAAGGCGACUCUCUGGUCUGUAACUGACGCUGAGGAGCGAAAGCGUGGGGAGCGAACAGGAUUAGAUACCCGUGGUAGUCCACGCCGUAAACGAUGAGUGCUAAGUGUUAGGGGGUUUCCGCCCCCUUAGUGC
rnacentral:rRNA from 1 species